rnacentral:rRNA from 1 species
UACGUAGGGUGCAAGCGUUGUCCGGAAUUACUGGGCGUAAAGAGCUCGUAGGUGGUUUGUCGCGUUGUCCGUGAAAACUCACAACUCAAUUGUGGGCGUGCGGGCGAUACGGGCAGACUGGAGUACUGCAGGGGAGACUGGAAUUCCUGGUGUAGCGGUGGAAUGCGCAGAUAUCAGGAGGAACACCGGUGGCGAAGGCGGGUCUCUGGGCAGUAACUGACGCUGAGGAGCGAAAGCGUGGGGAGAGAACAGG